rnacentral:rRNA from 1 species
CACCAGAGUUUUGAAUCCUGGCUCAGAUUGAACGCUAGCGGGAUGCUUUACACAUGCAAGUCGAACGGCAGCGCGAGAGAGCUUGCUCUCUUGGCGGCGAGUGGCGGACGGGUGAGUAAUAUAUCGGAACGUGCCCAGUAGCGGGGGAUAACUACUCGAAAGAGUGGCUAAUACCGCAUACGCCCUACGGGGGAAAGGGGGGGAUCGCAAGACCUCUCACUAUUGGAGCGGCCGAUAUCGGAUUAGCUAGUUGGUGGGGUAAAGGCUCACCAAGGCAACGAUCCGUAGCUGGUUUGAGAGGACGACCAGCCACACUGGGACUGAGACACGGCCCAGACUCCUACGGGAGGCAGCAGUGGGGAAUUUUGGACAAUGGGGGAAACCCUGAUCCAGCCAUCCCGCGUGUAUGAUGAAGGCCUUCGGGUUGUAAAGUACUUUUGGCAGAGAAGAAAAGGUAUCCCCUAAUACGGGAUACUGCUGACGGUAUCUGCAGAUAGACCCCACAACCU